ACCUGGGUGGCUCAGUCGGUUGAGCAGCUGACUUCAGCUCAGGUCAUGAUCUCACCACUUGUGAGUUCCAGUCCCACCUCAGGCU
rnacentral:tRNA from 1 species